UCUUGACCUCCGGCCAUUCUAAAACAAGGACAAAAAUGACCCUAUAAGAGGCAAUAUUGGUUUAUAGGAGGGUAAUCCACAACCUAUAAAAUGCCUUAAGAAUUUCAAGAAGAGGGGUAAUCCACUCUCUCCAAGAAGAAUAAGACUCCAAUAUUGUAACAGAAGAAGUAUCAGUUUAGAGGAGGGUAAUCCGCAACCUCUAAAAAAAUGCUAGUAUACCUUCAAGUAGAGGGGUAAUCCACACUCUACUAAGAAAGAACUAGCUCUGAUAUCUCAAGUUAGUGUAGUCUCGACAAACUGUCACGGACAAAAAAUACAGACUUGAAAUCUAACAAGAAGUUCAAGAAGAAGUGGCAGAACUAGAUUAAACAAAUGAGUACAAGAACAACACUAGAAAGGUGAGCUAGAACUCCAAGAGAUGUG
rnacentral:lncRNA from 1 species